rnacentral:lncRNA from 1 species
AAUGCUUUUUAUACUGAAGUUCCCAGAAUCUUCCAGCUAACAUGUUCCAAAGGCACUUGGCAUAAACAGCCAAGACCAGGCCCUUUGAUUGGCUCUGGCAUCACGCAUUUUCUACUUUCUCUGAGGUUCUCCUGCCAGCCUCUUCCAGUGGGCACUUUCAUGAAUGCACUAAGGAUUUACAGUUCCAUGCAGAGAUUAUUUACGAUAAAUGUCAUAGAUGGACAAGCCACCAGGAGCCUUAAAGUAUUAAGAAAAACUGAAUCAAUGGUGUUUAAUGAUAAAUUAUUCACAAGUUAUGUAAAGAUGCAGAGAGCACCCAACAAGAUGCAGAGUAUUCCUGUGCUGACUGCAGUUCAGAUGAGAAACAAGGCAUGUUAGGAGCAAAAGAUCAAGGCAGGCUUGGAACAGAUGUUAUUUCUCAAUACUGUUGAUGUUUGAACUCUCUUCUUGUUUUUAAUGUCUUUUUGCUAUUAUUUUUAUCUACUGGUUUAAUAUAUUAGUUGAAUUCUUUUAAAUAUUGUAAUAAUUUGUUGUUUUAGCUUUUUAAUAUAUUUUACUUUAAAACUGUAAGCCUGCUUUAAUCCCUUUUAGGAGAAACGUAAUUUGUUGUUUUAGCUUUUAAUAUAUUUUCUUUUAAAACUGUAAGCCAGCUUCGAUCCCUUUUAGGAGAAAUGUGGCAUAUAAAUAAAUUAAUUAAAUAAUUAAAUAAAUAGACA